rnacentral:misc_RNA from 1 species
UCCGAGUUGACCCCGGCAGUCUCGCAUGAGUCCCCACCACCCCAAAAAGGGGCGUGCUGGCAACAUGCGACAAGGGUUGCGCUCGUUGCGGGACUUAACCCAACAUCUCACGGCACAAGCUGACGACAGCCAUGCACCACCUGUACACCGACAAAAGGGCCCCCAUCUCUGAGGGUUUCCGGCGUAUGUCAAACCCAGGUAAGGUUCUUCGCGUUGCAUCGAAUUAAUCCGCAUGCUCCGCCGCUUGUGCGGGCCCCCGUCAAUUCCUUUGAGUUUUAGCCUUGCGGCCGUACUCCCCAGGCGGGGCGCUUAAUGCGUUAGCUGCGGCACGGAACCCGUGGAAUGGAUCCCACACCUAGCGCCCAACGUUUACGGUGUGGACUAC